GUGAGGAAUUUUCCGCAAUGGGCGAAAGCCUGACGGAGCAAUGCCGCGUGAAGGAUGAAGGCCUAUGGGUUGUAAACUUCUUUUCUCAGAAAAGAAUUAUGACGGUAUCUGAGGAAUAAGCAUCGGCUAACUCUGUGCCAGCAGCCGCGGUAAGACAGAGGAUGCAAGCGUUAUCCGGAAUGAUUGGGCGUAAAGCGUCUGUAGGUUGUUUAAAAAGUAUUCUGUAAAAGAUUAGGGCUUCACCCUAGAUAGGCAGAAGAAACUUUUAAGCUAGAGUUUGGUAGAGGCAGAGGGAAUUCCCGGUGGAGCGGUGAAAUGCGUAGAUAUCGGGAGGAACACCAAAGGCGAAGGCACUCUGCUGGGCCAAUACUAACACUGAGAGACGAAAGCGAGGGGAGCAAAUGGGAUUAGAUACCCUUGUAGUCC
rnacentral:rRNA from 1 species